rnacentral:rRNA from 1 species
GACGAACGCUGGCGGCGUGCCUAAUACAUGCAAGUCGAGCGGACGAAUCGAAAGCUUGCUUUUGAUUCGUUAGCGGCGGACGGGUGAGUAACACGUGGGCAACCUGCCCUGUAGACGGGGAUAACACCGAGAAAUCGGUGCUAAUACCGGAUAACACGAAAUGUCGCAUGACGUUUCGUUGAAAGACGGCGCAAGCUGCCGCUACAGGAUGGGCCCGCGGCGCAUUAGCUAGUUGGUGAGGUAACGGCUCACCAAGGCGACGAUACGUAGCCGACCUGAGAGGGUGAUCGGCCGCACUGGGACUGAGACACGGCCCAGACUCCUACGGGAGGCAGCAGUAGGGAAUCUUCCGCAAUGGACGAAAGUCUGACGGAGCAACGCCGCGUGAGCGAAGAAGGCCUUCGGGUCGUAAAGCUCUGUUGUUAGGGAAGAACAAGUAACGCAGUAACUGGCGUUACCGUGACGGUACCUAACGAGAAAGCCACGGCUAACUACGUG